rnacentral:lncRNA from 1 species
GUGAAACCCCGUCUCUACUUAAAAUACAAAAAUUAGCUGGGCGUGGUGGCACACGCCUGUAGUCCCAGCUAGUUGGGAGGCUGAGGCAGGAGAAUCGCUUGAACCUGGGAGGCGAAGGUUGCAAUGAGCCUCAAUCGCACCACUGCACUCCAGCCUGGCAACAGAGAUUACAUGAUCAUCAUCUCCCUCUGUCUUCUAUCUGGGCAGCACGAGAGUGGGUCCCACUCUACAGGGCACCCUCUGCUGAAAAUCAAAACUUGCUCACCCCAAAUGCCCUUCAAGGCUGAACUAAGACAAACUCUCCCCCUGUGAAUCUGGAACGAGACAAGCGGAGGAAAAAAAAUUUAUUUUUAUAAAGAUCCUCAAAUUUGUCAUAGAAAGCAACCCAUCUGAAGUCACAAAUUGUGGUGACGUGGGCUUCGUUUUGAGAGGUUGAGUACAGCAUGGUGUUCUGGUUUAGGAGAGAGCCACGUUCAAAGUCUGAUUCUUAUACACCCCAAAUGCACUCAUGGAGAGGUAAAAGUGAACAAUGUGGAAGGAAACACUGUCACUAGAAUCCCUUCUGCAGCUUCAGUGUGGAAGGCUGCAGCGGCGAGCAUCAAACAAGGCAGCUUCUUGGCGUCUGGGCCUGUGAGUCACCGCGCUCACAUGGGUUCACUUAGCAUCUCUAAUUUGGGAGCAGAGCAGCAGAAGAGGCCCAAAUUAACUUGAGUUUUGUCCUUCCCCUUUUACUUGGAGUUCUGUGGGCCUGAAUGCUUGGUGUCAUCUACUGUAAGGCUCAGGACACCUGGGGCCAUCGUCUUCACACUGAUCACGGCAAGGAUCUGCCCAAGAUAUUUGGGAGAGGAAGCUGUCAGGGGCGUAGGGGGAAAACAGGCUCAAAGAAAGGACUCACUUUUAUAUUGGAUUAUUGAUCAAAGAGAUCGCCGAACACACAGAGGACAAGGAAGAAAUGCCAAAGAGUUGAGAUGACAUUGCAAUGUAAAAGUUUCUUUUAAGAUAAAAAUAGGUGGCUGUGCAUAGAAUAUUCCAGGAAGGCUGUAUGAGAAAGUGCUAACAGUGGGUGCCCCAGCAAAGGAAGGGCCUAGGGAUGCAGCACAGGUGUAGGAAGGAACCUGACUUUUCCCUGUUACACACUUUUUUUUUUUUUUCAGACAAAGUCUCGCUCUGUCACCCAGGCUGGAGUGCAGGGGUGUGGUCUCGGCUCACUGCAACCUCCACCUCCCAGGUUCAAGCGAUCCUCCCAACUCAGCCUCCCAAGUAGCUGGGAUUACAGGCGCACACCACCAUACCUAGCUAAUCUUUGUAUUUUUAGUAGAGACAGGGUUUCACCAUGUUGGCCAGCUGGUGUUGACCUCCUGACCUAAAGUGAUCCGCCUGCCUCGGCCUCCCAAAGUGCUGGGAUUACAGGUGAGAGCCACCAUGCCCGGCCCUUUUCUUUGCAGGGGGCGGGGAAAGGGUCUCACUCUGUCACCCAGACUGGAGUGCAAUGGCAUGAUCACAGCUCACUGCAGCCUCAACCUCCCGGGUUCAGGUGAUCCUCCCACCUCAGCCUCCCCAUGGUGUACAUGCCACCAUACCAGGCUAAUUGUAAUUUUUAUAGAGACAGGGUCUCCCUCUUGCCCAGGCUGGUCUUGAACUCCUGGGCUCCAGCAAUGAGCCUGCUUCAGGCUCCCAAAGUGUUAGGAUUAUAGCGUGAGCCACUAUGCUGGCUAUCAACUUUUUAUAACUUUGAGUUUUGUACUAUGUGUAGUAUUGAUUUAAAAAUAUUUUUUCUGCUCUCGCUCUCGCUCUCGCUCUCCCUCUCCCUCUCUUUCCACGGUCUCCCUCUGAUGCCGAGCGGAAGCUGGACUGUACUGCUGCCAUCUAGGCUCACUGCAACCUCCCUGCCUGAUUCUCCUGCCUCAGCCUGCCGAGUGCCUGCAAUUGCAGGCGCGCGCAGCCACGCCUGACUGGUUUUCGUAUUUUUUUGGUGGAGACGGGGUUUCACUGUGUUGGCCGGGCUGGUUUCCAUCUCCUAACCGCGAGUGAUCCGCCAGCCUCGGCCUCCGGAGGUGCCGGGAUUGCAGACGGUGUCUGGUUCACUCAGUGCUCAAUGGUGCCCAGGCUGGAGUGCAGUGGCGUGAUCUCGGCUCGCUACAACCUCCACCUCCCAGCCGCCUGCCUUGGCCUCCCAAAGUGCCGAGAGUGCAGCCUCUGCCCGGCCGCCACCCCGUCUGGGAAGUGAGGAGCGUCUCUGCCUGGCCGCCCAUCGUCUGGGACGUGAGGAGGCCCUCUGCCUGGCUGCCCAGUCUGGAAAGUGAGGAGCGUCUCUGCCCGGCCGCCAUCCCAUCUAGGAAGUGAGGAGCGCCUCUUCCCGGCCGCCAUCCCAUCUAGGAAGUGAGGAGUGGCUCUGCCCGGCCGCCCAUUAUCUGAGAUGUGCAGAGCGCCUCUGCCCCGCCGCCCCGCCCCGUCUGGGAUGUGAGGAGCGCCUCUGCCCGGCCACAACCCCGUCUGGGAGGUGAGGAGCGUCUCUGCCCAGCCGCCCCGUCUGAGAAGUGAGGAGACCCUCUGCCUGGCAACCGCCCCGUCUGAGAAGUGAGGAGCCCCUCCGCCCGGCAGCCACCCCAUCUGGGAAGUGCUGUGUCCACUCAGGAUUAAAUGGGUCGGUGCAAGAUGUGCUUUGUUAAACAGAUGCUUGAAGGCAGCAUGCUCGUUAAGAGUCAUCACCACUCCCUAAUCUCAAGUACCCAGGGACACAAACACUGCGGAAGGCCGCAGGGUCCUCUGCCUAGGAAAACCAGAGACCUUUGUUCACUUGUUUAUCUGCUGACCUUCCCUCCACUAUUGUCCUAUGACCCUGCUAAAUCCCCCUCUGCGAGAAACACCCAAGAAUGAUCAAUAAAAAAAAAAAAAAGAAUUUAAAAAAAAAUAUAUUUUUUCCUCUCCCUCUCCCUCUCCCCACGGUCUCCCUCUCCCUCUCCCCACAGUCUCCCUCUCCCUCUCUUUCCACGGUCUUCCUCUGAUGCCGAGCCAAGGCUGGAC